CGCACGGGUGAGUAACACGUAUCCAACCUGCCGUCUACUCUUGGACAGCCUUCUGAAAGGAAGAUUAAUACAAGAUGGCAUCAUGAGUCCGCAUGUUCACAUGAUUAAAGGUAUUCCGGUAGACGAUGGGGAUGCGUUCCAUUAGAUAGUAGGCGGGGUAACGGCCCACCUAGUCUUCGAUGGAUAGGGGUUCUGAGGGGAAGGUCCCCCACAUUGGAACUGAGACACGGUCCAA
rnacentral:rRNA from 1 species